rnacentral:rRNA from 1 species
AGACAGAGGGUGCGAACGUUGUUCGGAAUUACUGGGCGUAAAGCGCGUGUAGGCGGCUAUGCAAGUCGGGUGAGAAAGCCCUGGGCUUAACCGAGGAAGUGCACUCGAAACUGCAUAGCUCGAGUCCCGGAGAGGAUGGUGGAAUUCUCGGUGUAGAGGUGAAAUUCGUAGAUAUCGAGAGGAACACCGGUGGCGAAGGCGGCCAUCUGGACGGGUACUGACGCUGAGACGCGAAAGCGUGGGUAGCAAACGGGAUUAGAAACCCCGGUAGCCC